UGGGGGAUAUUGGUCAAUGGGGGAAACCCUGAACCAGCGAUGCCGCGUGAGGGAAGAAGGUCUUCGGAUUGUAAACCUUUGUCUUCGGGGACGAACAAAUGACGGUACCCGAGGAGGAAGCUCCGGCUAACUACGUGCCAGCAGCCGCGGUAAUACGUAGGGAGCAAGCGUUGUCCGGAAUUACUGGGUGUAAAGGGAGCGUAGGCGGGUCGGCAAGUUGAAUGUGAAAUGCAUGGGCUUAACCCAUGAGCUGCGUUCAAAACUGUCGAUCUUGAGUGAAGUAGAGGCAGGCGGAAUUCCUAGUGUAGCGGUGAAAUGCGUAGAUAUUAGGAGGAACACCAGUGGCGAAGGCGGCCUGCUGGGCUUUAACUGACGCUGAGGCUCGAAAGCAUGGGGAGCAAACAGG
rnacentral:rRNA from 2 species